GUGUAAUACCCCUCGGCGGACUGAGGACCGCGCAUCUGCAAGGAUGCUGGCGUAAUGGUUGUCAGCGACCCGUCUUGAAACACGGACCAAGGAGUCGUCCUAAUAUGCGAGUGUUCGGGUGUAAAACCCCUACGCGUAAUGAAAGUGAACGGAGGUGAGAGCUUCGGCGCAUCAUCGACCGAUCCUGAUGUUCUCGGAUGGAUUUGAGUAUGAGCAUAUUGGGCCGGACCCGAAAGAAGGUGAACUAUGCCUGUAUAGGGUAAAGCCAGAGGAAACUCUGGUGGAGGCUCGCAGCGGUUCUGACGUGCAAAUCGAUCGUCAAAUAUGGGCAUGGGGGCGAAAGACUAAUCGAACCUUCUAGUAGCUGGUUUCCGCCGAAGUUUCCCUCAGGAUAGCAGUGUUGAAUUCUCAGUUUUAUGAGGUAAAGCG
rnacentral:rRNA from 1 species